UAUUAUGCUGAAUUUUUCGAUUU
rnacentral:miRNA from 1 species